GGAGAGAUGCGAGAGCGGUUUAAUCGGGAGGUCUUGAAAACCUUUGUCCCGUUUAUUCGGGACCGUGGGUUCGAAUCCCACUCUCUCCGCCA
rnacentral:tRNA from 1 species